rnacentral:ncRNA from 1 species
UAUCUUCAGGGCGGGGUGCAAUUCCCCACCGGCGGUGACAGUCCGCGAACGCUUCGGCGCCGAAUCGGUGUAAUUCCGAUACCGACAGUAUAGUCUGGAUGGAAGAAGAU